rnacentral:rRNA from 1 species
GAACAUUACCAGGUCUUGACAUCUUCUGACACUCCUAGAGAUAGGACGUUCCCCUUCGGGGGACAUAGUGACAGGUGGUGCAUGGUUGUCGUCAGCUCGUGUCGUGAGAUGUUGGGUUAAGUCCCGCAACGAGCGCAACCCUUGAUCUUGGUUGCCAGCAUUUAGUUGGGCACUCUAAGGUGACUGCCGGUGACAAACCGGAGGAAGGUGGGGAUGACGUCAAAUCAUCAUGCCCCUUAUGACCUGGGCUACACACGUGCUACAAUGGAUGGUACAAAGGGCUGCAAAACCGCGAGGUCGAGCCAAUCCCAUAAAACCAUUCUCAGUUCGGAUUGUAGGCUGCAACUUGCCUACAUGAAGCUGGAAUCGCUAGUAAUCGUGGAUCAGCAUGCCACGGUGAAUACGUUCCCGGGUCUUGUACACACCGCCCGUCACACCACGAAAGUUUGUAACACCCAAAGUCGGUGGGGUAACCGUAAGGAGCCAGCCGCCUAAGGUGGGACAGAUGAUUGGGGUGAAGUCGUAACAAGGUAGCCGUAUCGGAAGGUGCGGCUGGAU